UAAAUAGUGAAUACUAAAUUUGGGUCGUUACAACAUUUCUCCCGAAACAUUUCUCUUGUGUGUCUCUGUUCUCAUACCUUCGAUUUUGGCUUCAUCCCGACGACGCCGCCUCUCUCCACAGCAUCGUUCUUCUUUCACCGCCACUUUUUACGGUUUUCUUGUCUUAAUUCUCUGUUCUUGAAUCUUCUAUUUUUAGGAUUUUUCAAAGUUUGGGAAAUUGGUCUUCUUCUCUCUUCUUAGUUUCAUUGGCUUGGUAAAGGGGAGAUCGCAUCACAUGCUCUCACCAAAAUCACACGAGUUUUCACGCCGAACCACCAUCGUGUUGCCGCUGUAACCUGAGUUCGCCGCCACCACCGACCUUUGAACAACAAACACAUCAGGAUUAACGAGUAUAAAGUAGACAUCUAAUUCAUAAAGAUUACCAAUUUUGAAGCAAACAUGGAUAAUGGUAGAGAUGCUAAUGAUGUUGCUAUGUGAUCAUGAUUCUCAUGGCUGCAUAAUUCACCAUGCUGAGCUGGUGUGUUGUUAAUGUAGUCAUUGAUCUUGUAUUAGUGUAGGUUGAUUUUUGUUAAUCGAUAUUGUAUCAGACGCUUUUCUUGUAAUGCUUCUAGUAAUGAGACAUGUUGUCUUGGCUAGGUUGUGAGCCACACCGUUCUAUUGUGGCCUAACAAAACUAGCAUCAAAGCUUGUGUAAAUAAUUCAAAACACCUCUGAAAGAUUGCUCCAGUGUCUUAUGGAUUUGAGAGACCCUUAGUGUGGGGGUCAACUACUAA